AAAAAAGCAAAAGAAGCGAGGCCAUCGGUUUUAGAUUUGCUGUGCUCUCUCCAAGAUACAUAAGAUGAGAAAGGAGGGGAAAGUAGGAGUGGUGGAGGGGAAAUGAGGAAGAAAAACAUCUUAGCGGUCACAACCUGGAUGAUGGCUGCCAGCACAGAUGGCUCUUGAAGCUCUGGGAAGAGGCUGAGCUUCACAGAACUGCUUCUUGGUGGGAACCUGCAGAAAUGGAUGGCAUGCCCAUAAGCCCCAUGGGCACACAGAUAGAGAACACCAUCAGGUUGCACAGAGAGCAUAACCUUUACAGCAAAGAGCUUUCAAAGGAUUUCCAUCCACUGCUACUAAUGCUAUUUCACAACUUUUGGAAGAGAAGAAAUUGCAUCAUAUGGGAUCUGGAAAAAGCUAAUUCCAGCUGAAAUGCAUUUGGCACAACAUUGAAUGACUUAGCUGGAGCUCCUCAGUGACAAAAACCAUGAUACAGGAAAGAGAGACGAGAUUACAGUUCCUUCCUCUGCCUUUUCACAAGAGUCUUUCAAGCAUGUAUGUCUGAUCUGAAGCAUGCUUGAUGACGCUGUCCUCUCAUACUUCACACUUUGCAUCCCACAGUGUCACCUCUCAUUCUUCUGAGUACCCAACUACCUUCUAAUCCUGCUUUCAGCAAUCCCAUCUGCAUAAGAACAUGAAAAUAGUCUUUUUGCACAAAUUUAUGAGAGAAAUACCAUAAUCUGACUUUAUGAAAGUGGGUGUUAAAUUGUCUUGUGAUAGUUAUGCAUUUUUUUUUGCUUACGUUGUUUCCAGAAGAGGGAAUGGAGAGAUGAAGAACGUGUCCAGGAAUAAAGACAGAAGUGGGAAAAGUUUUUAAGGACAUUCUCCUAUAUUUCUGCCGCAGUAUUGCACUUUCACACCAGCAAAUAUGAUUCAUCCACUUUAUGUAUUUGUGACUAGAUGUGAAAUUAUCCCUCCUUCUUUUUCUUGUAAUGUUUUUCUUCAUUUCAAUAUCAGAACAACGUAUCAUCACACCUUUUUGUUUGUUUGUUUGUUUGUUUGCUUUUUUCCCUGUACAUGUACACCAUAAGCAUUUUCAAUAGCGCAGGUAUCUUUACAAGAUUUUGUUUCACAAAGAGAUUGUAUACUUAAUUAAAGAGAAAACAACAGACUUGCAUACAGCAACACAUCCACACACAUCCACUCACAAAACAAUAAAUGAGAGUAAGUCUUCUGUGACAGCACUAUUUUCCACUGUCUAGAUGAUUAGAGAGUCCAGUGCUUUUUAUCAAAGACAACCUCUUUCUCUCCUUUCGAGCUUUAAAUAAAUACUUGUGCUAAUUGCAGAUACUAGCAAAAUGCAGCACCAAAACUGGCAUGGAUGUGAAAGGGAAUAAACAAGCUAUGGUAGAUUAAACAUUGUUUUUCUGUCACUGUCAGAAUGUAUAAUAAAGAGUCCCAUGU
ensembl:lncRNA